AUACGUAGGUGGCAAGCGUUGUCCGGAUUUACUGGGUGUAAAGGGCGUGUAGGCGGAGAUGCAAGUCAGGAGUGAAAUCUAGGGGCUCAACCCCUAAACUGCUUUUGAAACUGUAUCCCUUGAGUAUCGGAGAGGCAGGCGGAAUUUCUAGUGUAGCGGGGAAAUGCGUAGAUAUUAGGAGGAACACCAGUGGCGAAGGCGGCCUGCUGGACGACAACUGACGCUGAGGCGCGAAAGCGUGGGGAGCAAACAGGAUUGGAUACCCUGGUAGUCCACGCUGUAAACGAUGAACACUAGGUGUGGGGGGACUGACCCCCUCCGUGCCGCAGUUAACACAAUAAGUAUUCCACCUGGGGAGUACGAUCGCAAGAUUGAAACUCAAAUGAAUUGACGGGG
rnacentral:rRNA from 1 species